rnacentral:rRNA from 1 species
AACGAACGCUGGCGGCAUGCCUAACACAUGCAAGUCGAACGAGACCUUCGGGUCUAGUGGCGCACGGGUGCGUAACGCGUGGGAAUCUGCCCUUGGGUUCGGAAUAACAGUUAGAAAUGACUGCUAAUACCGGAUAAUGUCUUCGGACCAAAGAUUUAUCGCCCAGGGAUGAGCCCGCGUAGGAUUAGCUAGUUGGUGAGAUAAAGGCUCACCAAGGCGACGAUCCUUAGCUGGUCUGAGAAGAUGAUCAGCCACACUGGGACUGAGACACGGCCCAGACUCCUACGGGAGGCAGCAGUGGGGAAUAUUGGACAAUGGGCGAAAGCCUGAUCCAGCAAUGCCGCGUGAGUGAUGAAGGCCUUAGGGUUGUAAAGCUCUUUUACCCGGGAUGAUAAUGACAGUACCGGGAGAAUAAGCCCCGGCUAACUCCGUGCCAGCAGCCGC